AGGGAAUGGUUCCUGGGGAUUGAACCCAGGAGUGCUCUAUCACUGGACUAUAUCCCCAUACCUUUUUGUUUUUUGAGACAAGGUCUAAAUUACUAAAUUCCUGAGACUGACCUUAAACUUGCCAUACUCCUGCCUCAGCCUUCCAAAUUGCUGGCAUUACAGAUGGGCAUCACCCUUCUGGCAAGAAUUAAGAUAAUUUUCAAAUAAAACUUUGUGUGUGUGUGUGUGUGUGACAAAAUCAAAUCUUUAUUUUUGAAACAACCUAAUUCACAUGUAGAAUAAAUGUGAGGAUCCAAUUUGAGGGGAAUUUUAAACCAUAAUAAUCUGUUGAUAUCUUGAGUUAUUUCUCGAUGAACUUUCUAUUAAGAUCACCUUCAAAAAAACUUGUUUAAUAUGAAAGCUAAGCCUUAUUCCCCUUCAACUAAGCCUUAGAUUAAAGCACAGUGGAACCAAAAGUGCUGUAACACUAAAGUUAACUUGUAACAUCUUUGUACAAACCUGAAGAAACCAGGCUCCGAGUUGCACACCUGUAAUUCCAGAGGCUGGAGAGCCUGAGGCAGGACCAUCAAAGUUUGAGGUCUGCCUGGGCAAAUAACAAGUGUUGGGGAUCUAGUGCAGAGGUAGAGUGUCCUGGGUUCAAUCCCUAGUACCGCCCCCCCACCACACACACACAUAAAGGGAGGGGGGCAGAAACACUGGCAGUAAAGCAAAGUUGAAUUUUCCUUCAUAAAGUGAACAGUUUUUUCCUUUAUUUGUUUUUGCAGUGCUGGGUAUGGAACCCUAUGUCUUGCCCAUGCUAGGCAGAUAUUGUCAUGAAACUACAUACAUCUCCAGCCAAGAAAUGAAAAUUUCUGAUAUUUUAAAAAAAUUUUGUGAUUGGAGUUCAUGGUUUUAAUACUUGAAGUUUUCUCAAGUUGCUUUCAUUGUCCAGGGCAGUUUGAUUUCCUACUCUUAUUGUGUCUGGGUAGAAAUAAUCAUUAUCUGAUUAGGAAAGUUGUUUGCAAAAAUCAACACUUAGGAGAAUUGUAUGAAAGGGAGCUAUUCCUGUUGUUACAUUUCCAAUUUGCCAAAAGCAGUUAACCUUAGAAUUCUUAGUUAUUCACGGUUCUUAAAAGAAAUUCUAAUUUUCUAUAAAUAACAUAUUAAAUAAACCCUGAAAUUACUAACUCCCUACUGUCUUAAGCAAGGUGGUUUGUUUAUUCAAACAUUAUUUUCAAAGUUUUAAUCUGAAUAUUUUGGUUCAAAUGAUUGUGAAUACUAAUAAGUGUGAGGGUGGAGGAAAUGUGCCAUACCUAGCAGUCCAAGUAUGUACUACUUCACAUUAUAGAAUUUCAGCUUUUUGUAUCUGCUUUUUCUUCAUAAAUUAGCUUUAUUGUCAUCAUCUACUUACAGUUCUAACAGUUCUUUUAUCUCUUGAUGAAUUAAGGAACUCUGCUAAUCUUGGGUAGAAGAAAACAAACUCCACCCUGCCACCCUUGAAAGCAAACUUACAACCUCAAAUUAACAAUCCCUCCCUCAUUAUCUCAUUUUGAGUCAAAGCGGUGACUCACUGUUCAUUUCUGAGCAGUUCUUACCAUAGAUCUCAGGCUCCUCGGUUGGCUUUCUCUAUAUUACUGCUCAGAUCAUAGUUUCCAGAAUAUCCUCUCUCAUUCUCUUUGGUCAGCCCAGCCACAAUUUACAAGAUAUAAAAUUUUAAGGUGGAUGUAGUCCAUAUUUGUAAUCCCAGGAACUCGGUAGGCUGAGGCAGGAGGCCUGAAAGUUUAAGGCCAGUCUUAGCAACAUGGCAAGAACUUGUCUUAAAAAAAAAAAAAAAGGGCUGGGGGGAUGUUGCUCAGUGGGGUAAAGUGCCAAUAAAUAAAUAAAUGAAUAAAUAAAAGUAUUACCAUUAAUCCAAAAAGUUGCAUCAUGCUCCCUUUGAAGUUAGUACCUUCCCAAUGCCUAGAACCCACUUAUAUGCUUUCUAUUACCAUGGCUUUUGUUUUUAUAGAAUUCUAUGUAAGUGGAAUCAUACAGUAUGUAAUUAUUCCACUCACCCCCAGGGCUGACUGGAGGGGUGCUCAAACACUGAGCCACACCCCCAGCCCUUUUUAUUUUUUAUUUGAGAAAAGGUCUUGCUAAAUUACCUAGGGCCUCACUAAGUUGCUGAGGCUGAUUUUGAACUUGCAAUCCUACUGUCUCAGCCUCCUGAACUGCUGGGAUUAUAGGCAUGUGCCACCAUGCUCGGCUCAGUAUGUAAUCUUUUAUGCAGAGGUGGGAGUAGGGUGAGGGGAACACUUAAUGUUUGAUUUCUUUCACUCAACACAAUGCUUUUGGGAUAGUCCUGCACUUCUACUUGAAUAUGUACUUUGGGUCUAUGGCCGUAGUACCACUUUGAAAACAUGUGAUUUUUAUCUGAAUCUGUAGUUUGGUACUUUGAUAAUGCCAAAUCCAUUAAAUGGCUAUGCUGGCAUAUAUUUACUAGCCUGUGUUAUUGAUGGGCAUUGGGUUGUUGCUGGAUUUCAGCUGUGAGUAAAGCUGCUUUAGAGAUCUUCUGUAGUAGUCUGUAAGGACAUGAAUUUAUUCUUUGGUGACAAAAUAGAAGACUAGAACUGCUAAAGUGCAUGAUAAGAAUUUAACUUCUUCAAAGACUGUUACACUCCAAAGCGGCUUUCAUACCAGACACAUAUGAGAAUUAUAGUUGCUUUGUAUCUUUGUUUAGCAUUUGUUAUUUUAAUUUGCAUUCCCCUGCUGAAUAAUCAUGAACAUCUUUUAAUAUACUAAUUUGUCAUCUACUUCUAAGUAUGAUAUGCUAAGCUGUGAUUAUUUUAUUUGUAAUUUGUUGUUUCUUUGAUCAGAUGGUUUACAGUUUUCUUCAUAUUUCAUAAAUAGUCAUUAUUUCAUUAAAUAUUUUUGGUCUGAAUCCUUACCCCCCUCCUAUCUGAGACUCUACUUUAUAUGUUAUUUAGGCCACUUAGUUGCUCCAUAAAAUUUCCAGAUCUUUUCUGAAUUUCAUUUUGGCGUUUCCAUUGCUUUGUCUUCAACUGCACAAGUCUGUACUCUGCCUUGCCUAUUUGUCUCAUCCUAUGUGUUUUUCAUCUAAGACACUGUGUUUUUUUUUUAUCUCAAGAAGUUUGAUUUGGCUGUUUUUACAUUUCCUAAUUCUUUU
rnacentral:lncRNA from 1 species